UGCUCGGAUCCGCACCCCCGGCCGCCGUCUCGGCCCCGCUGCAGCAUCCCGUGCCCGCACUCUGUGGCCCCGUCCCGCUGUCCCGGGACCCUCGCUCUGCGUUGUGUGAGCCCCGGCCCCGUGUGGCGGGGACCGCUCGGAGCCCGGAGCGCCGCGGCGGGGCCGCGACUGGGACGGGGCUGUGAGACCGAGUCCUGCCGGCGCCCGCUCCUGGGGCGGUGCUGCCUCUGCCCCGGCGGGAGGGUCGCGGCUCUCGGCCGGACUGGGCUUGAGACUGGGCAAAGCCCAGCCUGGGCUCGAUGCCCGCUCCUGCUAUGACGCCAGGACGAGGUUGACCAGGACGCAGAGACGGGCUGAGAGCUCCCACAUGCCGGGGAUGAAGGAUUGUUUCCCCACUCUGCCCAGCGCCGGGAAGAGCUGGAGCCCGCCGAGCUAGAGCAGGACCGAGAGAGGGCAGCGAUGCCACGCGGCGAAGUCGCUAGGACAGGAGCAGCGGGAAUUGACAGCUGCCCCUCCUCAGCAGACUAAAAAAAACACCCACGUGGCUUUUCAGUUUGGGAUUAUCUUUAUUUUACAGUUUAUAAAAAGCUUUUCCCAACGUGUGUGCUCCAUUAAACUUCCGUGCCGUCGUGCAAA